rnacentral:misc_RNA from 1 species
UCCGGCUCUACGCCGGCAGUCUCUCUAGAGUCCCCGACAUUACUCGCUGGCAACUAGAGACGGGGGUUGCGCUCGUUGCGGGACUUAACCCAACACCUCACGGCACGAGCUGACGGCAGCCAUGCAACACCUAUCGCAGGCCCUUACGGACACCGUAUUUCUACGGCUUUUCCUACGUAGUUCAGCCCAGGUAAGGUUCUUCGCGUUACAUCGAAUUAAGCCACAUGCUCCGCCGCUUGUGCGGGUCCCCGUCAAUUCCUUUGAGUUUUAGCCUUGCGGCCGUACUCCCCAGGCGGGGUGCUUAAUGCGUUAGCUGCGGCACAGAAAGCGUCGAUAGCUUCCCACACCUAGCACCCAUCGUUUACGGCUGGGACUAC